rnacentral:rRNA from 1 species
AACCGUUAGCUUACAAGCAGUGGGAGGACGAUUUAACGUCUGACCGCGUGCCUGUUGAAGCAUGAGCCGGCGAGUUAUAGGCAGUGGCAGGUUAAGACCCUAUGGGUUGCAGCCAAAGCGAAAGCGAGUUUGACAAGAGCGCCAGUGUGAAGCGCGUGUAAGAGCGCGUGGAGGACCGAACCCACUUCAGUUGAAAAUGGAGGGGAUGAGCUGUGGCUAGGGGUGAAAGGCCAAUCAAACUCGGAAAUAGCUGGUUCUCCGCGAAAUCUAUUGAGGUAGAUCGUCGUUCGAUUACCGCCGGAGGUAGAGCACCGGAAGGGCUAGGGGGACCCAAAGUCCUACCAAACCCUACCGAACUCCGAAUGCCGGCGAGUACAGGCGGCAGACAGACAGUGGGUGCUAAGGUCCAUUGUCGAGAGGGAAACAGCCCAGACCACCAGCUAAGGCCCCGUCGACGCGGCCGAGUCGUGGAGGCGAAGGCGACGACAGGGAGUAGGAG